AACAGGAUUAGAUACCCUGGUAGUCCACGCUGUAAACGAUGUCGACUUGGAGGUUGUGCCCUUGAGGCGUGGCUUCCGGAGCUAACGCGUUAAGUCGACCGCCUGGGGAGUACGGCCGCAAGGUUAAAACUCAAAUGAAUUGACGGGGGCCCGCACAAGCGGUGGAGCAUGUGGUUUAAUUCGAUGCAACGCGAAGAACCUUACCUACUCUUGACAUCCAGAGAAUUUGCUAGAGAUAGCUUAGUGCCUUCGGGAACUCUGAGACAGGUGCUGCAUGGCUGUCGUCAGCUCGUGUUGUGAAAUGUUGGGUUAAGUCCCGCAACGAGCGCAACCCUUAUCCUUUGUUGCCAGCGGGUAAUGUCGGGAACUCAAAGGAGACUGCCGGUGAUAAACCGGAGGAAGGUGGGGAUGACGUCAAGUCAUCAUGGCCCUUACGAGUAGGGCUACACACGUGCUACAAUGGCAUAUACAAAGAGAAGCGAACUCGCGAGAGCAAGCGGACCUCAUAAAGUAUGUCGUAGUCCGGAUUGGAGUCUGCAACUCGACUCCAUGAAGUCGGAAUCGCUAGUAAUCGUAGAUCAGAAUGCUACGGUGAAUACGUUCCCGGGCCUUGUACACACCGCCCGUCACACCAUGGGAGUGGGUUGCAAAAGAAGUAGGUAGCUUAACCUUCGGGAGAGCGCUUACCACUUUGUGAUUCAUGACUGGGGUGAAGUCGUAACAAGGUAACC
rnacentral:rRNA from 1 species